rnacentral:rRNA from 1 species
GCAUGCCUAACACAUGCAAGUUGAACGAUCCCUUCGGGGAUCGUGGCGCACGGGUGCGUAACGUGUGGGAACCUUCCCUUAGGUUCGGAAUAACUCAGGGAAACUUGAGCUAAUACCSGAUAAUGUCUUCGGACCAAAGAUUUAUCGCCUUUGGAUGGGCCCCCGUAGGAUUAGCUAGUUGGUGGGGUAAAGGCCUACCAAGGCGACGAUCCUUAGCUGGUCUKAGAGGAUGAUCAGCCACACUGGGACUGAGACACGGCCCAGACUCCUACGGGAGGCAGCAGUGGGGAAUAUUGGACAAUGGGCGAAAGCCUGAUCCAGCAAUGCCGCGUGAGUGAUGAAGGCCUUAGGGUUGUAAAGCUCUUUUNCCCGGGAUGAUAAUGACAGUACCGGGAGAAUAAGCCCCCGCUAACUCCGUGCCAGCAGCCGCGGUAA